CCUGAGGGUGCCCCCACCCUCAGGGACCCCCUCCCGCCGGGCUGGAUGGAGAGGAAGGGGUUAAACUUACCUCUUUCUCCAGCACCAGACGGGGAGCUCUCCUCCUCCUCCUCUUCGGCUGAAUGCGCAUGCGCGGCAGGAGCCGCGGGCGCAUUCAGCCAGUCCAUAGGAAAGCAUUCACAAUGCUUUCCUAUGGACGCUGGCGUCUUCUCACUGUGAUUUUCACAGUGAGAAGCGCGGAAGCCCUCUAGCGGCUGUCAAUGAGACAGCCACUAGAGGCUGGAUUAACCCAUUUAUAAACAUAG
rnacentral:lncRNA from 1 species